ACGCGUGGAACCUUACCAGGUCUUGACAUCCUCUGACACUCCUAGAGAUAGGAAUUUCCCUUCGGGGACAGAGUGACAGGUGGUGCAUGGUUGUCGUCAGCUCGUGUCGUGAGAUGUUGGGUUAAGUCCCGCAACGAGCGCAACCCUUGAUCUUAGUUGCCAGCAUUUAGUUGGGCACUCUAAGGUGACUGCCGGUGACAAACCGGAGGAAGGUGGGGAUGACGUCAAAUCAUCAUGCCCCUUAUGACCUGGGCUACACACGUGCUACAAUGGAUAGAACAAAGGGCAGCGAAGCCGCGAGGUCAAGCAAAUCCCAUAAAUCUAUUCUCAGUUCGGAUUGUAGGCUGCAACUCGCCUACAUGAAGCCGGAAUCGCUAGUAAUCGCGGAUCAGCAUGCCGCGGUGAAUACGUUCCCGGGCCUUGCACACACCGCCCGU
rnacentral:rRNA from 1 species